rnacentral:tRNA from 2 species
GGCCUAUAGCUCAGCUGGUUAGAGCGCACGCCUGAUAAGCGUGAGGUCGGUGGUUCGAGUCCACUUAGGCCACCA